UUCGCCCUUGGUUGAUCCUGCCGGACCUGACUGCUAUCGGAUUGAUACUAAGCCAUGCGAGUCAUUGUAGCAAUACAAGGCAGACGGCUCAGUAACGCGUAGUCAACCUAACCUAUGGACGGGAAUAACCUCGGGAAACUGAGAAUAAUGCCCGAUAGAACACUAUACCUGGAAUGGUUUGUGUUCCAAAUGAUUUAUCGCCGUAGGAUGGGACUGCGGCCUAUCAGUUUGUUGGUGAGGUAAUGGCCCACCAAGACUAUUACAGGUACGGGCUCUGAGAAGAGUAGCCCGGAGAUGGGUACUGAGACACGGACCCAGGCCCUAUGGGGCGCAGCAGGCGAGAAAACUUUGCAAUGUGCGAAAGCACGACAAGGUUAAUCCGAGUGAUUUGUGCUAAACGAAUCUUUUGUUAGUCCUAGAACCACUAACGAAUAAGGGGUGGGCAAGUUCUGGUGUCAGCCGCCGCGGUAAAACCAGCACCUCAAGUGGUCAGGAUGAUUAUUGGGCCUAAAGCAUCCGUAGCCGGCUCUGUAAGUUUUCGGUUAAAUCUGUACGCUUAACGUACAGGCUGCCGGGAAUACUGCAGAGCUAGGGAGUGGGAGAGGUAGACGGUACUCGGUAGGAAGGGGUAAAUCCUUUGAUCUAUUGAUGACC
rnacentral:rRNA from 1 species